GACGAACGCUGGCGGCGUGCUUAACACAUGCAAGUCGAACGAUGAAGCCGGAGCUUGCUCUGGUGAAUUAGUGGCGAACGGGUGAGUAACACGUGAGUAACCUGCCCUUGACUCUGGGAUAACUGCGGGAAACUGUAGCUAAUACCGGAUACGACCCUCGGAGUCAUCUUCUGGGGGUGGAAAGAAUUUCGGUCAAGGAUGGACUCCCGGCCUAUCAGCUAGUUGGUGAGGUAAAGGCUCACCAAGGCGACGACGGGUAGCCGGCCUGAGAGGGUGACAGGCCACACUGGGACUGAGACACGGCCCAGACUCCUACGGGAGGCAGCAGUGGGGAAUAUUGCACAAUGGGCGCAAGCCUGAUGCAGCAACGCCGCGUGAGGGAUGACGGCCUUCGGGUUGUAAACCUCUUUUAGCAGGGAAGAAGCGAAAGUGACGGUACCUGCAGAAAAAGCACCGGCUAACUACGUGCCAGCCGCCGCCGUAA
rnacentral:rRNA from 1 species